rnacentral:rRNA from 1 species
GACAGAGGGUGCAAACGUUGUUCGGAUUCAUUGGGCGUAAAGGGCGCGUAGGCGGGCUCUUAAGUCAGGGGUGAAAGCCCAAGGCUCAACCUUGGAAUUGCCUUUGAUACUGAGGGCCUUGAGACCGGAAGAGGUCGGCGGAACUGCGAGUGAGAGGUGAAAUUCGUAGAUAUUCGCAAGAACACCAGUGGCGAAGGCGGCCGAGCUGGUCCGGUUCUGACGCUGAGGCG